AACGAACGCUGGCGGCAUGCCUAACACAUGCAAGUCGAACGAGACCUUCGGGUCUAGUGGCGCACGGGUGCGUAACGCGUGGGAACCUGCCCUUAGGUUCGGAAUAACUCCCCGAAAGGGGUGCUAACACCGGAUAAUGUCUUCGGACCAAAGAUUUAUCGCCUUUGGAUGGGCCCGCGUUGGAUUAGCUAGUUGGUAGGGUAAAAGCCUACCAAGGCGACGAUCCAUAGCUGGUCUGAGAGGAUGAUCAGCCACACUGGGACUGAGACACGGCCCAGACUCCUACGGGAGGCAGCAGUGGGGAAUAUUGGACAAUGGGCGAAAGACUGAUCCAGCAAUGCCGCGUGAGUGAUGAAGGCCUUAGGGUUGUAAAGCUCUUUUACCCGGGAUGAUAAUGACAGUACCGGGAGAAUAAGCUCCGGCUAACUCCGUG
rnacentral:rRNA from 1 species